GUGAAAGCGCAGCCGCUGUUGUUCAUUUGGAGUAAUAUGAAAACGGCUCUUUCUUCACUUAUUCUGCUGUUAUCAAGCACUGCUUAGGAAAGAGAAAGGGCCUGAGUGAAGAUGUAAAGCAGCUUAACUCUCAUCUCAAACGGAAGGUUUUUGGAUUACCGAACAAGCCUUUCCCACGACCACUAAUCCUCCCUUUGCAAUGUACAGAUGCAGGAGAAGGUCAGCUACACUCCAGGGCGGCCCAAGACAUUUUACUGCUUGCGGCAAAGGACCAUGUGAUGCCUGCCCUACUCACAGUGACUGGCCUGUUUGUGGAAGCCUUGAAUAAGUGGAGGUAUUAAAGGAUGAGAAGAGGAGAGGCUAUCAAGAGAAGGGCACUAUCCCAACUUGCCCUGGGUACAACCUUCGAGUGCUUUGCUUUCUAUCACACCUGGCAGAUUUCUGUACAAAUUCCAAUUUUGAGACUGUGGUCAAAUUUGAAAGAACAGCCUGGUGCUUGCAAGAGAAGAGCUAUUAUUUCUGCAGGCUGCUUUGUAAAGAGAGUCCUCCUCCCACCCCUGUUCUUAACAUUGAGGGCAGAGGUGAGAUGUCUGCUUUGCUAAAGGCACAAAAUGGCUCAAGAGCCAUUAUGUCAGGAAGAAAUAAUACAGGCGCAUCCUGCACACAAAUCCCCUUAGGGACCAGCAACAGAACGCAAGCCAACCUACAAAAAAGGCAAAGGGGAAAGGAUGGCAAGAGGAGCACUGAAAAGAAACAAAAUGGCAAGAGAAGAGGGAAGGGGAGAGGAAACAAAGGUUACAGAGCCCAAGGAGCACAAGGGCUGAGGGCAGUGUUGCUUGUCUGCCUCCUACCUGGCUGGCACACACAAGAGUAGCUUUGCCAUUUGUCUUGGCAUAUGCUGUGGGCAGGACAAGGAUUGGAGUCACACGGGUUGGGCACACGACAUCCUGCCUCCACAUUCAAAGUGCUGCUCGGCUUGGGUAAUGCAGACCCAAUGGGAGUAUCACCUAUGCGCACUCCCUGAAAAGCAAGUGAAAAAGGCGUCAUAAGGCCAGGUUUCCCAGAAAACAAAGGCUGGACAUCAAUGGGAAAAGUCUGGAUUGGACAUCCCAGUCCAGCUUUCAAGAGGAUCCUCAGCCCCAUCGUAUGUGCUACCAGUGGGAAAUUACCUAGUAGUCUUUGCCAAGGUUGCUCAUUGUCAUCUUUUCCCAGAAGCUCUGGCUCUCAACUACUCAGAGGCCCCAGCUAUACCAACAAAUCUACCCAUUGAGCGUGGCAGCCCCUAGCAAGAAGCUGUGACUUGAUUCCUGCAUUUGCAUCUGGCUUGGGGGAUGUUCCUUUCUUAUUUGCCCCAUGCCCAUCUCUGAAUCAAAACACAGAUGAGCAGAGAAAGCUUGGAAUUUGGAAGCUGGCUGGAACUCACCUGGAUGCAGCCCUCCAAACCAUGAUGCACUUUACCAGACUCUAGGAUUCCUCCAACAUGGAGAUGCUUCACUUUCAGGCCAUGUAGCUCAUUUCCAACAACUACAGUGUCCUAAGAAAAGAAACCUGGUGAAUAGGAAUGUCAUAGGCAUGCCGUUGCUUAGUUCCCUUACCUGUGUCUGCAGAUUCACAUUUUGCCUUUCUGUAAGCCCCACUCUGUCAGAGUCAGGGCUGGUAACAGAUUCUCUGCAAGUUCCAAAAAGAGAUUCUGAGCCACCAGCCAUUAGCAGUGGCCAUAUAGAGAGAGAUGGAAACAAAGCAGAUUCAGGGUGAGGGCCCCCUUAAAACACCUGACUGGGGAAGGAAAUAAAGGCCUCUCAGAAAGGCCUCCAACCCCUUACAUUUCCCUGGUGCAGAUGAUGAGCCUCCACUCUCAUGGCUUACCUGGUAGAAUCCAAAGUCCAGAUUAAGGGUGACGAUGUAGCGUGUCUCUCUGCCACUGCGAACAUCCUGCAGCUGUAGCUGGAGGUCAUGCCACUUCCCAUCAUUCAGCUGCAUUUGAUCCAGAAGGAGCCUGGUGGUGCGUCCAGAGCCCCUGUUCACCGUAAAGGAGAGCAGGCCAGAGUCCAGCUAAAGUCAGAACAGAGACAAUUCUGCAUAGUGAGCAAGACCAAGAUAGUUCGAACCACCUUUGCUCUUAAUUCCCACAAGUGCUCUGCAGAUAAAGAAGGGGUACCGAGUUCAGGCAGGCCCCAAUAUCUUCAAGGGGUGGAUGAGGCCGUUGAAGCUUUACACCAGGUAUCACAAAGGGAAGUCCAUGUUUAGGUCAAAGGUCACUCCAUAGGAAGCAUUGCUAAACAAGCUGUUCGUACACUCUCACUCAGACCAGCUCUACCCCCCUUGAAUGGGAUUACCUCGCAAGACAUUUGGUACAAGCUCUAACAGCAGCACAGAAACGACAUGUCUGAGUAGUGGGACAGUACCUGGCAGAGUAUGGUGAUAUACUGGCCAGCAUGCACCUGAAGCAACACUCCAUUUAGUUGGCGUGUCCGAAAUGCCAGUCCUAUAUACCAUGGAGUGGAGAUCUUCACCUCAUUCUUGAAAUCCCAGAGAAGGAUGCUGUUCCCACGGAAAUGGUGAGGAUGAUGCAUGGCUGGGAAAGGAGGAGGAUAAAGAGUGCUGAAGAUCAGAGCAGUGUGAAGAAGUUUCUGAUGGGGAAAACCUUACAGCCCUUCUAACUUGCUUUUGCUGGAAUCUCUCCUGGGAAGCUCCCUUAGACCCUGCCAGACCACUGAUCCACCUAGCUCAGUAUUGUCUACACUGACUGCAAGUGACUCACCAACGUCUCAGGCUGGAGUCUUUCCCAGACCUACCUGGGAAUGACAAGGGCUGAAUUUGGGGCCUUCUGCAUGCGAAACAUGAGCUAUACCACUGGGCAGUGAGCACUCUCUAAGGAACUUUGAAGACCUGCAUGCCAUUAGGAAAAAUACUGGACAGGGCCAGAGAAAAGAGCUUGGAGGUUUGACCUCUGACCUUGCCAAAAUUCAUUAUAGUCAAGCCUCUCCAUUGUAUUCAAUAAAAUAUACUUUUAUUUGGAUUUCUAAACCAGUGGUUGUGACUUUUGGGGGGAAACUGCCUGUUUUACAACUGUGCUUAAAAGGUCCCACAUCCCUCAUAACAGUAGGAGGCCAGCAACCUGACCAGAUGACUUGUGGGGUUCUGGCAUCGUUAGAAUGAAACUUUAAGAACUGCAGGGUUCUACUGGAUCCUACUGAUCGGAAAACCUCUGAAGGCUGCUCCUUUCUGUAUGUUUUAUGCUUAGCUGUAGAGAGGCAAGGGAGGGGAAAAUACAUGCCUAUCAUGUUAGUUAAGGACACAAACACACAAACAUUUAAAUGUGCUUUUCACUUCAAAAUGAGGGAGGCUCAGCUCUCAUGCAUGCGGGACAGGGCCUUCUCAGUUAUUGCCCCCAGAAUGCUCUCCCAGGGGGCAUCUGCUCCUCAGCCUCCAUCACAGUUUUUAGAAAGCAAGUGAAAUCUUGGUUUUCUCCCAGGGUAUUGUUUGUGUUGCUGCUGCUCUGUAUUUUAUGGUCCUACUUUGUGUGUGUGUGUUUUUAACUUUUGUAUUUUUAUAUUGCAAUUUAAUAUUUUUAUCGUGUAACCGUUUUAUAGUCUUAAAUUGUUUAAAGUGUUUUGUAAACCACUUUGAGCUUAUUUCAAUGAAAGGUGGUAUAAAUGUUUAACAAUAAAUAAAUAAAGAUGUCUAUAUAAGA